ACCAUUUGUCAGUGUGUGGUAACUGACCUGUCUAGGUGUCUAUCUACUCUGUCAAAAGGCAGUCGUCAGCACGAAACCCAGUGAGAGAAGAAAAAACCCCAUUAGAGACUGGGCUCUGGAUUUGUAUUGGCUGAGAAGGAAGUGUACGUCAGCUUGUUGUCAUUGCGUGGAGAGGGAUAAAUCAUGCUGGACAGAUUGUAAACUACAUCCUUGUGGAAGGAAAAGGAGCGGACAUACACAGGUCCUUCUCACUGUCACGAUGCGGGGCAUGCAGGAGAGUAUGUGGGUCCUACCCCUGAUACUACUGGAGCUGUUACAGCACUGGGCUGAAGGCGACUCAUUCAGUCAGGUGUGUGACCCAUCAAAAGAUGGCACCAUCUAUAACUACAAUGCUAAGACCCUGAAUGGGAGUCGUUCAGUCUCCCUCCGUGAGUACAUGGGGAAGACCGUCCUCUUCGUCAACGUAGCCUCUUACUGAGGACUCACCUUCCAGUACCUGGAGUUGAAUGCACUACACAAGGAGAUGAAGGAUUAUGGGUUCACCGUUCUCGGGUUCCCCUCCAAUCAGUUUGGAAAACAGGAGCCAGGAGAAAAUCAUGAGAUUCUGGCCACUCUAAAGCAUGUCCGACCAGGAAAUGGAUUCGUUCCAAACUUCCUGCUAUUCCAGAGGGGGGAUGUGAACGGAGACACAGAACAAGGAGUCUACACUUUCCUCAAAAACUCCUGCCCACCGGUAGGGGACAGCUUUGGGAACCCCACCAACAGGCUGUUCUGGGAGCCCCUGAAGAUGAACGACAUCAAGUGGAACUUUGAGAAGUUCCUGGUCGGACCGGACGGAAAGCCCGUGAUGAGGUGGUUCCCCCGGGUCACAGUGUCUGAGGUUCGGAUGGACAUCAUCAAAUACUUCAAUCAACUCUUAUCCCAGUCCACCCAGCAGAACAUUGACUAAGGUUUUACUGUGGUUGUGUCCCAAAUGGCACAGUAUUCCCUAUGUAGUGCAUUACUGGAAAUUCAUUACAUAAGGAAUAGGGCGUCAUUUGCGACGCAGCCUGUGUUGUCAUCAGGGCUGGGGUCAAAUUCCAUUUCAGUUGAGUAAAUUCCUGAAUUGAUAUGGAAUUCAUUCCAUCCCCGAUAGGCUGGAUUAGAUUUUUUUUUUUAAAUAGAUUUAUUAGAGAUCGCUCCUUUAGAUACAUGAAAUCACAGUGGAACGGUUUCCAGGGUUCAGAUUAAACUUCUUUCUAGACUAAACAGCACUUUCAAAUGGAAAUCCUCCAAUGACUAUGCUUCAAAUUUUAAUUUCAGGAGUAGGCUUAAUCUGGAUCAGGAAAACCAAAAUGGUCCUACAACACUUUUUCCCCCAUCCUUUUCAACCCCCCCCCCCUCUUGUAAAAAAAACAAACAGACAAGCCAUACAGAGUAGAAAUCAGUUGAUGGUGGUACUGGGUAAGGGUUGUAGGUCAUAAAGGAGGUGGCAUGUUAUAUGAAGGUGAGGCUUGAAAACAGUGAUUCUGUGGUGCCAAGCCUGAGUUCUAGGGUCCAGGCCAGUCCUUCAGUGCAUUCAGGCUGGGCCUGGUAACCCUAGGAGCCAUGCUACCUCCUCGUCCUGCCACCCAGACCAGAUGCCUAGUUAUCCACUGCUUCUGCCUGACUAAUUCAUGUCAAUAAAUCACAUCAAUGCAACAUGGAGCCAACUUCUUCCUGUAAACGAUGAUGCCCUGUGGUGUGUGGCCAUUCACAUGCUUUCACAAAAUGUCCAGGUCAACAAUGUUUUGUUAAAGAGAAUCUGUUAUUUUUAAGUCAAAAAAAUAAAAUAAAUAAAAACUUUAAUUGAAAAUAAA